ensembl:snRNA U6 U6 spliceosomal RNA
GUGUUUGCUUCAGCAGCAUAUACACAAAAACUGUAAUUAUAAAAGAAUCUUAGCAUGGUACCUGUGCAAGAAUAACAUGUUAUUUUGUGAAGCCGUCUCUAUUUUU